GAAUGCUAAUUGUCGUUCUUUUUUAUUCAGUCUGAUUUGUGCUUCAGUUGUACGUUGGAGUCGUUAAUCGAACCCGAACCUACAGUGAAAUUCAUAAUGCAAUCCCGUUCUGUUUUUAAAAUGGUCAUCGUCCUGGCUUUCUUGGUCAGCUCCUUUGAGGCCUUAACCACGGAACCUCGUGUACCUAGAUAUUCAAGUUAUUUUAACGCAAUAGGUGCAGUUGGGGUACGGCAAAAAUGUCCCGAAGGACAAAAGUUCAAUUUCAUACUUAAUCGGUGCUUACUUGUUUGGGGUUAACGUGAAAUUUAUGCGGGACCGCUAAAAGGUCUUGGUUCUUAAUUGUGACAUGAGGCUUUGUUAUAUGGUCGGUAAUCCCAACAUUAUUUACUUUGUGUAGUCUAGUCUUGUCAUUCCAUAACGAAGAAAUAGAACAUAUGUCACCUUUCUUU